rnacentral:rRNA from 1 species
AUUGAACGCUGGCGGCAUGCCUUACACAUGCAAGUCGAACGGUAACAGGUCUUCGGAUGCUGUCGAGUGGCGAACGGGUGAGUAAUACAUCGGAACGUGCCCGAUCGUGGGGGAUAACGAGGCGAAAGCUUUGCUAAUACCGCAUACGAUCUACGGAUGAAAGCGGGGGAUCUUCGGACCUCGCGCGGACGGAGCGGCCGAUGGCAGAUUAGGUCGUUGGUGGGAUAAAAGCUUACCAAGCCGACGAUCUGUAGCUGGUCUGAGAGGAUGAUCAGCCACACUGGGACUGAGACACGGCCCAGACUCCUACGGGAGGCAGCAGUGGGGAAUUUUGGAAAAUGGGCGAAAGCCUGAUCCAGCCAUGCCGCGUGCAGGAUGAAGGCCUUUGGGUUGUAAACUGCUUUUGUACGGAACGAAAAGCCUCUUUCUAAUAAAGAGGGGUCAUGACGGUACCGUAAGAAUAAGCACCGGCUAACUACGUG